UACGUAGGGAGCAAGCGUUGUCUGGAAUCAUUGGGCGUAAAGCGCGCGUAGGCGGCCUCGUAAGUCCGUUGUGAAAGUCAAAGGCUCAACCUUUGAAAGCCGAUGGAUACUGUGAGGCUAGAGUCCGGAAGAGGCGAGUGGAAUUCCUGGUGUAGCGGUGGAAUGCGCAGAUAUCAGGAGGAACACCAAUAGCGAAGGCAGCUCGCUGGGACGGUACUGACGCUAAGGCGCGAAAGCGUGGGGAGCGAACAGG
rnacentral:rRNA from 1 species